GAUUGGAGUAUUUGGUUGUAUUAAG
rnacentral:misc_RNA from 1 species